AUAUCAGUCAUGCAUAGCAUAUCAAUAAGCGGAGGAAAAGAAACUAACAAGGAUUCCCCUAGUAACUGCGAGUGAAGCGGGAAGAGCUCAAAUUUGAAAUCUUAAAAGGUUUUCCUUUUACGAAUUGUAGUUUAAAGAAGUGUUUUCUGUUGAAAUUUUAGUAAAAGUUCUUUGGAAUAGGACAUCAUAGAGGGUGAGAAUCCCGUAUUUGACUAGAAUUUUUCAACUUUGUGAUACACUUUCAAAGAGUCGGAUUGUUUGGGAAUGCAGUCCAAAAUGGGUGGUAAAUUUCAUCUAAAGCUAAAUAUUGGCGAGAGACCGAUAGCGAACAAGUACCGUGAGGGAAAGAUGAAAAGAACUUUGAAAAGAGAGUUAAAUAGUACGUGAAAUUGUCAAAAGGGAAGCGUUUGGCACCAGUGUUGUUUUUCUAAAAAUCAAUUUAAAAUUUGCUUAUGCUAAGUUUUUUAGACUUAAUCGGCUAAUAAUUUAGUUUUUUGUAAUUUUUGAAUGCACUUUUUAGUUAACAAGUCAACAUCAAUUUCUUUUGUUGUAAAAGAAUAAGAGGAAGGUGGCUUGGGAUUUAGUUUCAAGUGUUUAUAGCCUUUUAUUUAUGCAAUAGGAGGGAUUGAGGUCUGCAGCAUAGAUCCUUCGGGGCUAGAUGCAUUUUCGCUAAGAGUCAGUAUUAUAUAAACAACUUGUUGAUUAUGUAGUAUGUUGAUUUUUACUCGGGAGUGUUAUUUUACCUACGCUUAGGAUGUUGAUCUACAGAGCGAGAGU
rnacentral:rRNA from 1 species